GCGUAGGAAUCUACCUAGAUGUGGGGGAUAACAUGGAGAAAUUCAUGCUAAUACCGCAUAUGCCCCACGGGGUAAAGAGGGCCUCUUCUUGAAAGCUCUUGCAUUUAGAUGAGCCUGCGUCGGAUUAGCUUGUUGGCGGGGUAAUGGCCCACCAAGGCGAUGAUCGGUAUCCGGCCUGAGAGGGCGCACGGACACACUGGAACUGAAACACGGUCCAGACUCCUACGGGAGGCAGCAGUGGGGAAUUUUGCGCAAUGGGGGAAACCCUGACGCAGCAACGCCGCGUGGAGGAUGAAAUAU
rnacentral:rRNA from 1 species